GUGAGAGUGCGGCAGUGAGACUGCGGGGGAUAAGCUUCGUAGUCGAGAGGGAAACAGCCCAGAACACCAGCUAAGGCCCCUAAGUGUGCGCUAAGUGGGAAAGGAUGUGGGGUCGCCCAGACAACCAGGAGGUUGGCUUAGAAGCAGCCAUCCUUGAAAGAGUGCGUAAUAGCUCACUGGUCAAGUGGUCCUGCGCCGACAAUGUAGCGGGGCUUAAGCGUACCGCCGAAGCUGUGUCAUUCACACAUAUACAUCCACUUCAACUUUCGGGUUGUUGUGUAGUGGUGUGGAUGGGUAGGGGAGCGUCCUGCACCCCUGGAAGCUGCGACGUAAGUCAGCAGUGGAGGGUGUGGGAGUGAGAAUGCAGGCAUGAGUAGCGAUAGCAGAGUGAGAACCUCUGCCGCCGGAUGACCAAGGGUUCCUGGGCCAGGCUAAUCCGCCCAGGGUAAGUCGGGACCUAAGGCGAGGCCGACAGGCGUAGUCGAUGGACAACGGGUUGAUAUUCCCGUACCCGCGUGAAUGCGACCAUGAUGAGGCAGUUGAUGCUAACCACCCAAAGCUGUGGGAGUAAGCCUUCGGGUGAAUCUUACGGUGGAGCGUGGGAUCCGAUUCUGUAUUAGUCAAGCGAUGGGGUGACGCAGGAAGGUAGUCCCGCCAGUGAGUGGAUUAACUGGUGUAAGCGUGUAGGGAGUGGUGUAGGCAAAUCCGCACCAUAUAUAUCCUGAGACGUGAUGCGUAGCCGAUUGAGGCGAAGUGGAUGAUCCUAUGCUGUCGAGAAAAGCCUCUAGUGAGUGUUCAAGCGGCCCGUACCCUAAACCGACACAGGUGGUCAGGUAGAGAAUACUGAGGCGUUCGGGUGAACUGUGGUUAAGGAACUCGGCAAAAUGCCCCCGUAACUUCGGGAGAAGGGGGGCCGUGUGGCGUGAAGGACCGUGCGUCUGGAGCGUUGUGUGGCCGCAGAGACCAGCGAGAAGCGACUGUUUACUAAAAACACAGGUCCAUGCGAAGUCGUAAGACGAUGUAUAUGGACUGACGCCUGCCCGGUGCUGGAACGUUAAGAGGACGGGUUAGUGCCUUUUGGGGUGCGAAGCUCAGAAUUUAAGCGCCAGUAAACGGCGGUGGUAACUAUAACCAUCCUAAGGUAGCGAAAUUCCUUGUCGGGUAAGUUCCGACCUGCACGAAUGGCGUAACGACUUCUCGGCUGUCUCAACCGCAGGCCCGGUGAAAUUGCAUUACGAGUAAAGAUGCUCGUUACGCGCGGCAGGACGGAAAGACCCCGGGACCUUUACUAUAGCUUGGUAUUGGUGCUCGGUUCGGCUUGUGUAGGAUAGGUGGGAGACUGUGAAGCGCCAUCGCUAGUUGGUGUGGAGUCGUUGUUGAAAUACCACUCUGGUCGGAUUGGGUGUCUAACCUCGGACCAUGAUCUGGUUCAGGGACAGUGCCUGGUGGGUAGUUUAACUGGGGCGGUUGCCUCCUAAAGGGUAACGGAGGCGCUCAAAGGUUCCCUCAGCCUGGUUGGCAAUCAGGUGUUGAGUGCAAGUGCACAAGGGGGCUUGACUGUGAGACUGACGGGUCGAGCAGGGACGAAAGUCGGAACUAGUGAUCCGGCCAUGGCUUGUGGAAGCGUGGUCGCUCAACGGAUAAAAGGUACCCCGGGGAUAACAGGCUGAUCUUGCCCAAGAGUCCAUAUCGACGGCAUGGUUUGGCACCUCGAUGUCGGCUCGUCGCAUCCUGGGGCUGGAGUAGGUCCCAAGGGUUGGGCUGUUCGCCCAUUAAAGCGGUACGCGAGCUGGGUUUAGAACGUCGUGAGACAGUUCGGUCCCUAUCCGCCGCGCGCGUAGGAGAUUUGAGGAAGGCUGUCCCUAGUACGAGAGGACCGGGACGGACGGACCUCUGGUGUGCCAGUUGUUCUGCCAAGGGCAUGGCUGGUUGGCUACGUUCGGAAGGGAUAACCGCUGAAGGCAUCUAAGCGGGAAGCCUGUUCCAAGAUGAGAUCUCCCACCUCUUUGAGGUUAAGGCUCCCAGCUAGACGACUGGGUUGAUAGGCCGGAGAUGGAAGCACGGUAACGUGUGGAGUUGACUGGUACUAAUAGGCCGAGGACUUGUUCA
rnacentral:rRNA from 1 species